rnacentral:misc_RNA from 1 species
GAUGAAGAACGCAGCGAAAUGCGAUACGUAGUGUGAAUUGCAGAAUUCAGUGAAUCAUCGAAUCUUUGAACGCACAUUGCACCUCUCGGUAUUCCGGGAGGUAUGCCUGUUCGAGCGUCAUUUGUACACUCAAGCUCUGCUUGGUGUUGGGUGUUUGUUCCGCCUCUGUGUGUGAACUCGCCUCAAAACAAUUGGCAGCCGGCGUACUUGUUUCGGAGCGCAGCACAUUUUGCGAUCCAGAUCAACGUACAGCGGCAUCCAAGAAGCCUUAUUUAACGCUCUUGACCUCGGAUCAGGUAGGGAUACCCGCUGAACUUAAGCAUAUCAAUAAGCGGAGGA